rnacentral:rRNA from 1 species
AUUGAACGCUGGCGGCAGGCCUAACACAUGCAAGUCGAACGAGUGGCGUACGGGUGAGUAAUGUCCGGGAAAAUGCCUGAUGGAGGGGGAUACCUACUGGAAACGGUGGCUAUUACCGCCUACACUCGGCUGUGCCCGUAUGGGUGUAGCUUGUUGGUGGGGUAACGGCUCACCAAGGCGACGAUCCCUGGCUGGUCUGAGAGGAUGACCAGCCACACUGGAACUGAGACACGGUCCAGACUCCUACGGGAGGCAGCAGUGGGGAAUAUUGCACAAUGGGCGCAAGCCUGAUGCAGCCAUGCCGCGUGGAUGAAGAAGGCCUUCGGGUUGUAAAGUACUUUCAGCGGGGAGGCGUUACCCGCAGAAGAAGCACCGGCUAACUCCGUGCCAGCAGCCGCGGUAAUAC